UAAGGCCUAUAAAUAGUUUGGUGCUGA
rnacentral:piRNA from 1 species